UGGGGAAUAUUGCACAAUGGGCGCAAGCCUGAUGCAGCAACGCCGCGUGAGGGACGAUGGCCUUCGGGUUGUAAACCUCUUUUGGCAGGGAAGAAGCGAAAGUGACGGUACCUGCAGAAAAAGCACCGGCUAACUACGUGCCAGCAGCCGCGGUGAUACGUAGGGUGCAAGCGUUGUCCGGAAUUAUUGGGCGUAAAGAGCACGUAGGCGGAUCGGUCAGUUAGGGGUGAAAUCCCAGGGCUCAACCCUGGAACUGCCGUUAAUACUGCCGAUCUGGAGGCCGGAAGAGGUGAGUGGAAUUCCGAGUGUAGAGGUGAAAUUCGUAGAUAUUCGGAGGAACACCAGUGGCGAAGGCGGCUCACUGGUCCGGUACUGACGCUGAGGUGCGAAAGCGUGGGGAGCAAACA
rnacentral:rRNA from 1 species